rnacentral:rRNA from 1 species
AGUGAACGCUGGCGGUAGGCCUAACACAUGCAAGUCGAACGGCAGCACAGUAAGAGCUUGCUCUUACGGGUGGCGAGUGGCGGACGGGUGAGGAAUACAUCGGAAUCUACUUUUUCGUAGGGGAUAACGUAGGGAAACUUACGCUAAUACCGCAUACGACCUACGGGUGAAAGCAGGGGAUCUUCAGACCUUGCGCGAUUGAAUGAGCCGAUGUCGGAUUAGCUAGUUGGCGGGGUAAAGGCCCACCAAGGCGACGAUCCGUAGCUGGUCUGAGAGGAUGAUCAGCCACACUGGAACUGAGACACGGUCCAGACUCCUACGGGAGGCAGCAGUGGGGAAUAUUGGACAAUGGGCGCAAGCCUGAUCCAGCCAUACCGCGUGGGUGAAGAAGGCCUUCGGGUUGUAAAGCCCUUUUGUUGGGAAAGAAAAGCAGCAGGUUAAUACCCCGCUGUUCUGACGGUACCCAAAGAAUAAGCACCGGCUAACUUCGUG